AUUAAAUAAUAAGUAGUUGCAUUCAUGGGUUGAGUUGAGAUUCAUACAUAUCAUGCAAUGCUAUGCAAGUGCAACACAAAGGGUAAAAAUUGAAAAACAACGUUCGGAUUGAAAAAAUAGAGAGAGAAAGAGAAAGCGGCACAAAAACAAAAGAGAAGAAGGAUCAUAAAAACCUGCCCAUUUGCUUCCAAAUACUAUACUCCUUCCUUCCAAAGCAACAACACUCUUUGGAACCAAUUCGCCGUUCUUUCUCUCUUUCUCUUUCUCUCUCUCUCUUUGCAUCUCUUCAACAAGUCUCAGAUUCUCCACCUAUUAUCUCUCUGCCAUUGUCAAUGCUGGCGGCCUCUCCGUGUGCGCCGCUGCUAUAGCCGGAGAUUCUGCGCCGGAGAUUCUCGCUGCGGUUCCAUCGGAUUUUCCUAGGGUUUUCUGAUCGUUCGUCUCGCGCUCCGUGGCAUCAACGCCCUAAUGCCUCCGCCGCGCCGACGCGGAGCGAACAAGGCGAAGGCCAAUGGUCACUUGAGAUUGGGCGAUCUCGUGCUUGCUAAGGUUAAGGGAUUCCCGUAUUGGCCUGCCAUGAUAAGCAGGCCUGAAGAUUGGGAGAAACCCCCCGAUCCAAAGAAGUAUUUUGUUCAAUUUUUUGGGACCAAAGAAAUAGCUUUUGUUGCCCCUGCGGAUAUUCAAGCAUUCACCAAUGAGACUAAAACUAAGUUGUCUGCUCGGUGUCAAGGAAAGACAAAGUACUUCACCAAAGCCGUGAAGGAAAUUUGUGCAGCAUUUGAGGAGUUAGAGAAACAGAAAGUUAGUGGUUUGAAAGAGGACACUGAUGAUUCACUUAUUGGUUCGGGAACUCCUGUUGUAGGGGUAGUGGCUCACCCAAAGGAUGCCACAGAUGCUGUGGUACUAAAUAUAGAAAAAACUGACACAUAUGUGGGAGAUGUUGGCUCAAAUUUGGAGCAAUGUACACAGAAAUGUGAAGAAAGUGGUAGCCAAGAUGCAAAACCUUCUCUAUCUGGUCAUCCAAUUGACAGUGCGUCUCCAGUGUUGUCUCCUGUGAUUGAAAGCAAACCAUCAAUUGGUGAAGAACUAAAUAACUACAGUAGCAAAUCUGGCCUGGAUGAACAAUCAUGUCAUAAAGUUGAAGACUCUAAUAUUGAGGAUGUGUGCAAUGUUAAUGACUUAAAGCAAUCUGAUUAUGUACGGAGUGUUUCUACAAGUGGGAACAACUCAGGAAAGAUUGUUAGUGGCUCAAGGAGAAGCAAGAUUGCAGAUGAUAGAAAAAGAAGUGGUGAAAUUAGUAGAUCAGUUUUGAAGGAUGAAAGUUGUGCAGGUUAUGCUGGUUUUUCAAGGUCUGGGGAGAAAUCGAAAGAUAAAAAAAAGGGGAAAGAUUCAUUUUCUGUUAGGUCAGAUUCUUUAGAUGCUCCAAAAUCAGACUCUGAUAUUAACAGUGGAAGUAAAAAUAAGAACUUGCUGAAAGUUAAAACAAGUCUUAAGGUUAAAAAAGAGUUACAAGAGAGCUUUGAAUGUUCUGGGGCUGAGAGAAGAAAACCUCUUAAGCAUAAAAAAACCCAAGUUCAUGGAAAACGUAUUUUGGGAACAAAUGAAACCUCACAUGCUACCAAGAAGUUGAAGUUUAUGGAUAACAAAGACAACAAGACUUCAAAAUCUCUCUCGGAAGAUGGGAAUAGUGUUUUUCCUAGCUCUCCUGACAAAAAAUUCAAACAAAUAGAGUCGAAAAGGUCUACAUCACGUUUGAAAUCAGAAAAAGGUUUGUCUUCGAGGGGUCAAAUCAGCAUUGUAGGUUCUGAUGAUUCUGUUGGUGAAUUGCUGCCUGAGACAAAACAUCGUACCCAAGUCCUGCAAGUUAUGCCUGAUUCUGCUAGCAUUGCAACUGGUGGACAUACAGAGAUAAGUUCUCUUGGAUCGCAAGGUGACACAAAUAAUGUUGCAAUUAAGCAAGUAAAGAAGAGACGAAGAGCUGUGUGCGUUUCUGAUGAUGAUGAUGAUGAACCCAAGACUCCUGUUCAUGGAGGAGCUGCUAAAGAUAUUAAAUCAACUUCUUUUGUUUCAGAGAUUAUGAAGAGCAGUGAUACACUGCUAGAGAACACUGAUGUUGCUCAGCUGGCUACCAAAAACCCUAUUGCACUUGAAGAUAUCCAUUUCAAAGAAUCCACUUCUGAAUUACAUAAUGACAAUUUGUCAACUGGGCAUCCUCAAAAAGAGACUGAUGGAGUUAUUCCUGUUCAAUUACCUCAUAGUCCUGGGAGAUCAGGUUCAAAGCAGGUGCCUCCCAAGGUGGUGGAUAAAUUGAGGUCCGUCUCUCCUGUAAAUUCACCUCGUUCUCUUCACACAACAAAGUCAAAUGCUGAGCAAAAUAAAUCUUCCAAACGUAUGCUUCAAGUUUCCAGUAAUUCUACUCAAAAGAAGGUUGAUAACGUGUCUUCAAAGAAUUUAAAUAGCGUCAGCUCUUCACCAAGUCAGGUCACUACUCAUAAAAGGAAGCCUGCACCUUCAGCUGAAACUUCUAAAACUACUACAAAGACAUUAUCACAAGCAGUUGAAGUUCCAGUUACAACAGAAAAUUUAAAGGAAUUUGAAGCUUUUCAUGUUGAUAGGACUCCAGAAACUCCUAAGACUAUGAAGAAUCUUAUUGCAGCUGCACAGGCAAAACGGAGACAAGUAGCUCAAGCUCAAUUUCAGCCUCUUUCCACUUACUAUACUCAAGGGGGAACACCAAGCCCCUCUACAAUUCAACCAUUUUUGUCUGCCUCAAGUAAUAUUGACCAGGCUGAUUGGCAGGGAGUUCUUGAGCACCCAACAUUGGCUUCUCCAUCAACUAAUGGGUAUCAAUCCAUUUCUCAAAAUGAAAUUGAUGCUGUCGAAAAUGAGGAGAAAAGAGUUAGUCCUGUGCAAAAGGAUGUAAAGGGUUCUCUAAGUGGUGGUACUGAUGCCGCUAUUGCUCGUGACGCCUUUGAAGGAAUGAUAGAGACUUUGUCUAGGACCAAGGAAAGUAUUGGGCGUGCAACACGUUUAGCUAUUGAUUGUGCUAAGUAUGGCAUUGCCAAUGAGGUUGUUGAACUUCUUAUUCGAAAGCUGGAAAGUGAAACUAGUUUUCAUCGUAAAGUGGAUUUGUUUUUUCUUGUUGAUUCCAUCACCCAGUGCUCUCAUAAUCAAAAAGGCAUUGCAGGAGCCUCAUACAUUCCUACAGUUCAAGGAGGGUUGCCACGCCUUCUUAGUGCAGCUGCUCCCCCUGGGGCCAGUGCUUCUGAAAAUCGUCGUCAAUGUCUCAAGGUUUUAAAGCUGUGGCUUGAGAGGAAAAUUUUUCCUGAAUCAGUUCUUCGUCAUUACAUGGAUGAUAUGACAGUUAGUUGUUCCUUUAGGCGUCCUUCUCGUGCCGAACGUUCUCUGGAUGACCCAAUUAGAGAAUUGGAGGGCAUGUUUGUUGAUGAGUAUGGAAGUAAUACAUUUAAGCUGCCUGGCUUUUUAUCUUCUUGUGUGUUUGAAGAAGAUGAAGACAAUGAUUUUCCAAGUAAUGCAUCUCCAGCAGAUGCCAUGCGCAUUAUUGGGGAUUCUGAAACUUCCACCGUUACCCCAAGUGACAAGCGCCAUUGUGUCUUGGAGGAUGUGGAUGGUGAGCUGGAAAUGGAAGAUGUUUCAGGUCACCUUAAGGAGGAAAGACCUUUAUUACUGAACAGUCCUUCUGAAAAGGAUUGUCAACUUCAGAGCUCAGAAAGGAUUUUAGUUCCAGCUUCAAACAUUUCUGCUGAGAUACCUGAUGAUAUUCUUGAGGGCUCUCCUCCUUUGCCAUUAGAUUCACCCCCUUCUCCUCCACCUUUGCCUUCCUCACCUCCACCCCCUCCUUUGCCACCCCCAAGCCCUCCACCUUCACUGGUUCCUCAAUCAUCUGAGCCUGUUCAGCCACCACUUUUCACCCAGACAAUAGUGCCACCUCAAUUAUCGCAUCAGUCAUCACCAUUGUCAGGGUUUCAGCAGAGUGUACCUCAUGAUUUUAGUGGCUCAACCAAUGGCAACCAAAUAGGUCAAGUGGCUGGAAAUUCUUUCCCUGGAAGUCACAAUAGCUCAGUUGUCAAGAAUGAAAUAUUACAACAGCCAUCUGCUUGCUUUCCUGCAAUGGCAGGCUGCAACUCUCAAGAACCUUCUGGUUUUAACCCUCCGAGGCAGUUAGAAUAUGGACAAAAUGAUAUGUAUCUAAAUUCUCAAGCCCCUCAACCCAAUAUUCAAUUUCAGCCAGCUAACCCACCAUUUGCUCCAAGACAUGUGCAUCCUGCCCUACCCGAAAAUUCAUCCAAUCAAUACUCAUAUCCAAAGCCUACAAUUCCCCAGCACCUUCCACAUUCUUUCCUCCCCCCCUUCUCAUUGCCAUCAGUUCCAGAUGGCCAGAGACAAUUUGGUGCUAAUGAGCAAUGGAGGAGGCCAUCAAGUGAAUUUAUAACAAACAAUCAGCAGGGUCAAUGGAUAGGGAGAAAUUCUUCAUGUCCUGCUCCUCCCUUUGGGCAGGAAGGUUUUUUUCGGCCACCACUGGAAAGACCACCAAUAAACAACGUAGGUUUUCAGCAUGCAAAUCCUGGCAACAUACCUACUCAUCCCAUGACAGGACAUGGUGUUCCUCAGAUGUUGUCCUGUAGACCAGAUAUACCUGCACUUAAUUUUUGGAGGCCUACCUGAUGCUGAUAGAAAUAUUGAAAAAUUCAUCUGUACAAUUGUGUUGAUGCUUGUGGAUCAACUAUCGAGGUUACACAUUGUGGUUUGAAGUUAGAUUCACUUGUGUAGAACACACGGACCACUACCCGAGGAAAGUUUUGAAAACUUGUGGAGGCUUUUGGCAGGACUGUGUAUAUUAUAAUUUUUCCUGACAAUGUAUCCCAAGAACAUAUGCUUCCAAGUUUAGGUCCUUGUUUCUGACUUGGUCACAGUUCAUACUUCAAAGAAGUGAAAAGAUGGAAAUAGGAGAACCACUACCUUAAAAGGAAAAAUGAUCAUUAGUACUCGAAGAGAGAAGGAAGAGAAGACGUUAUGGAGAAGCAAGGGAAGGAGAUGGAAUGAAGAAUCUUGUGAUCCCAGUGCCUUGGGUGGUAACGAAACCUUUUUCUUUCAGUUCUUAGCUUCUUUCUUUGCCAAACGAGUAGAAAUCAACUUAGGGCUAUUUAUACCCAAGUCACAGAUGUCAAUCAGUUGAGUGGACUCCAAACUGUUUAGUGGAUUCACUCUCGAGACCAAGGUUUGAAAUUAGUGCAUUUAAUCGGCCACAUUUGCUGAGUGCAUUUCAAAGCAUUGACUUCCAAAAUCAUCUGCAAAAUUUUGUUGAGCGAAAACGAUAGUGUUUUAAAGAGGCUAAGUUACACUGCAACCUAAACAACAAUUUUGAAUGUUACAACUCAUUGAGCACUGGACAUAUCUCAUGCGUGGAAAUAGAGAGGCCAAUGAGGGUGACACAAUAGACCCACUAAACAUCACUAUGAUAGAUUUUGAUAUCAUCUUACAACGUUAAAUCUAUCUCAACAUCCCAAAAUUGGUAUAGUAAGAUGGGAUUUAUAUUCACUUAUAUAAUCAAUAUUACAUCUCCAACAUUGUGAUUUUCAUUCCAUUUGGAAACUAAAUUCUGAUGAAACUAGCCUAGAUACAGGCAUAGAUUUGGUGAUACACGUUUGAUUGUUUUUUGCUCUCACGUGCUGUCUACCUUAAUUUGGUGAUACACGUUUGAUAUAUGCACAUCAUUCUUUACAUGUGUGUAUCAGGUUUUUGUAGUUUGGGGAUAAUCUGUCCUUUUUUGACAUUGGUUGGGAUUUUGGAAGUUUGGGAACCUUCUGUUGGUAUGGGAAGCUCUUGUUCGUUUUCAUGAGUUGUUCGUUGUUUUUGGAAAUUCAUAUUUGGAUUAGUCUUUAGACACCGGGCUACCUGAAAGUUGUCCUUUACUGUUUGGGAUUUUGUCAGUUGUUGUCAUUCUUUUAUUGACAUUUUUGAAAUUUACUGUUUUAAGUAACACUUUUUAAUGAUCACGAUGUCCAAUUAUGACUCUUCUGCAUUGUGCUUGCUUCUGCAUGUGGAUUCAAUAUGUAAAACACCAGCACAUUAUUACAGUCUUCAAUCAUAUAGUAGUGUAAAAUAAGAUUAUCCAUUUCUUAUUGGGAACCCAUUUGAAGAAAUUUACCAUGUCACAACUUAGUAUUAUUUGGAUUACAUGCAUAAGGACCCUUCAUAGGGUAGUUCCAAGAGUUUGUAAGCCAAAUCACUGAUUUUGUGAAGAUUGAGCCAGUAUCAGAGGCAGUAGAGACACUGAGCAUUAGCAUGAUAAUAGUUCUUUUAGAAUGAGAUGUGAAUUUAACCAGGAUAUUUUCUUGAAUAUAAAGUUAGAGAUAUUACUGUUUGGCGCAACUAGAAUUCCUUCUUGAUCUAGCUCAUUCGGGAACUUAAUAUUUCUUCUGAAUUCACAACUUUAAUGACAAAUGAUAUAGAAUUAACACCAAUAACAUGUUGAAGAAUUGUCAAACUGCAAUCAACAGAUUUUCCCAUUAUGUGCUGUAUAAGACUAGUUUGGAAACAGUUUUUUAAUUACUAUUUUUUGUUAGGCAGCUACCAUCAGUGAUCAUGACCGAUCUCUCCCUUUACUAAUGGAUGAGACAGGGUUUUGUUAUUGUCCUAUAAGUGUUGGGCUGAGUUUCUUCGCAUAUAGAGGUUGCACAGCUUGCAUUUUUUCAAGUUUGAGCUUCUUGAGCUAACUGCUUACUUUUUGUUUCUCUGCUUUGAACCGUAAUCUUAUCCUUUUGAAAUUUCCUUUUCUGUAAUAACUUUUUCCCUGCCUUUUUAAAGGUUUUGGAGUAGAGGAAAGCUGGUUAGGUUGUGGAGUUGAUGUCUUUGCUGGAUGUAUGAUUUGUGUUGAAAAAGUCACAUUUGAUGAUUGCUAACAUAUAUGAAACAUGACCCUGUGAUGUUUAUGGAUUUCAUGUUGUUUGAGUUAUUGAGAAGAGCAGGUACUUGAAGUUUUGCUUUAGUACAAGAGCUCAUUGCCAUUGGUGAAAAACAGGUUUUUUCGUAAGCGGAGAUGGAGAUUUGUUUACCUUUCUCAUGUUUACAAUGUGGUUUCUGAACAACGAACAAGGUCAGACACUCAGAUUCACAUUGCAUCCGAAACUGUAGAUCUUCGAACUAGAUAGUUGACAUGGAGGAACAAAAUUUCUUGUUAUGUAUUAUACAUACAAUUUCGAUGCGACGACAAUUUUAAGGAUAGAUCUCGUGAAGGGCUCAAAAAAUUUAGCACAAUAUUUUUUAUUUGCACAUUGCAAUGUUUAGAUAGUUGUACUGUGUAGCGUAGCACUGAUGCGUGCACAUCUUCACAGUUCUAGUUAUUUUGUAUACAUACGGAAGAAUCUUGAACAGAGAUCUUUUUGUACUUCACUGUUGAAAUAAUUUCUGAUGCCUGGCAUUCUGCCUUCCCCAUCAAUGUGAUAUGCAAGGUCGAUGUUGAUUUA